CCCAUUUCACAUCCGAAACCACGGCACCACAAUACUUCCUCAUCAUCUCAUAUUACAAACCGCGGCACCUUAUCUGCCAUUCAUCUCCAUUUCCUCUCCAUUGUUACCUCAGCCCAAACCACAACAACAUUUCCUCACCUUGUAAUCAUCGACCAAGAGAGAGAGAGAGAGAGAGAGCUGCACUCUGCAAGCCGAGAGUGAGAGUGAGGGAGAGCCGAGCUUCUUGUUUCUUUUCUUUCCGUCCGUAAGCUAGAGAGGGAAGAGAGGGACUUGCGAUUCAUUUUGUCUUCUAACCGUGAGCUGGUGAAGGGACUAAGGGCUGAACUUUCUCCAUUCCAGCCGCAACCCAGAGCAAGGGAGAGAGAGAGCUAGUGGUCUGCAUUUUCUGGGCUGCCGAAGGGAGGAGGACUAUUUCUGCUGCUAACCGUGUGUGUGAGCUCCAUUUGAGGCGCACACGAGGACCUUUAAGAGGAUCCGACAGAGGACGCUUGAACUUCAAAUUGAACCUAUUGCCCUUGUUGCUAGGUUCUGACAACUGAGGAAGACUUGAGAUCUACUUGUACUUUAAGCAUGUAGUUUGAAUUAAACAAUGUAGCCGUCUCAAAUGUGCUCGGAAGUAGUACUAGAUUGUUUACUUUCAUGAAUGUAAUUUGAGUUAAACAUUGUAGUUUUGCCUUAGGUUGCCACUUGAAGCUGGAAAAGUGUAAACCCUGGAUUUGUAUGUGGCUUGUAUAAAUUUGUUACUUGGCUUGUAAGGAUGUAUUUGAAUUGAUGUUUUGUUUCUUGGGUUGUAUUCGGGAAGGUAUUUUAAGAAUCGAUGUUGGCUAUCUUAAGGCACUGUUAUCUCUGAAGUUAAUGUGAUUCUAGAAACCGGCCUAUUUGGAGGGAAACGAUGUUGUAAUAGAUUAGGUUAUACUUCGGAAGGAUUUUUGC